GACGAACGCUGGCGGCGUGCCUAAUACAUGCAAGUUGAGCGCUGAAGGUUGGUACUUGUACCAACUGGAUGAGCAGCGAACGGGUGAGUAACGCGUGGGGAAUCUGCCUUUGAGCGGGGGACAACAUUUGGAAACGAAUGCUAAUACCGCAUAAAAACUUUAAACGCAAGUUUUAAGUUUGAAAGAUGCAAUUGCAUCACUCAAAGAUGAUCCCGCGUUGUAUUAGCUAGUUGGUGAGGUAAAGGCUCACCAAGGCGAUGAUACAUAGCCGACCUGAGAGGGUGAUCGGCCACAUUGGGACUGAGACACGGCCCAAACUCCUACGGGAGGCAGCAGUAGGGAAUCUUCGGCAAUGGACGAAAGUCUGACCGAGAAACGCCGCGUGAGUGAAGAAGGUUGUCGGAUCGUAAAACUCUGUUGGUAGAGAAGAACGUUGGUGAGAGUGGAAAGCUCAUCAAGUGACGGUAACUACCCAGAAAGGGACGGCUAACUACGUG
rnacentral:rRNA from 1 species